rnacentral:lncRNA from 1 species
AUUGCCCUGGCCAGAACUUUCAACACUAUGUUGAAUAAGAGUGGUGAGAGAGAGCAUCCUGGUCUUGUGCCAGUUUUCAAGGGAAUGCCUGCAGCUUUUGCCCAUUCAGUAUGAUAUUGGCUGUGGAUCUGUCAUAAAUGGCUCUUAUUAUUUUGAGGUUUGAUAAUAGAACUUCAGUCAGAGGCAGCUUUAAACAUCUACUCACAUAAGUAUUCAAUUAAAUGGAUGCUGUGACACAAGUUACAUGGGCCUCUCCAGAUACAGCACUAGAAUGACUUUUCUCUCUUCAAUGUAUUAUUUAUGGGAUUUUAAGUUAUUCUUUCUUCGGUGUGAAACCAAAACUUUCUUGUGCACUGCAGCAGAUGCGGCAGUAUAGAUGCCUGAGAUCCCGUCUCAAAAACUCCCUGCCCAUACAUUUUCACCUCAUUGUCUGUCCCAGGGAACCUAGCCGGCAACACUUCAUCUCACCCAGAAGAGAUCCAGACUCCUUCCUUGAGUGGCCUGGGCCUGCUUCCUCCUCCCUCUCUUCUCUCCAUGAACUUCAUUACAGCAACUCGGGUUUUUCUGCUGUUCCUCAAAUAUUCCAAGUUUGAUCCUGCCUCAAGGUUUUGCACUUCCCUCUGCCUGGAACAGAAUCCUUGCCCAGAACUCUGCAGGACUUGCCUCCUUAUCUCCAUUCCAACACAACCCCUGAAGAAAGGCCUUCUCUUAUGAUUCUUUCGUUUUUUUUCAUAUCACAUGUUGCUUUUAAUGGCAUUAAAUUCACUGGGAAAAUAGUGAGUUGGGAAGCAACUCACUUUUACAGAUUAUGCUUCAGUUUCAACCGCAAGUUGGCUAUGGAUACAAGAGUUCUGCAAAACUAAAGUAUUCUCUGAGAAUCAAUUGGCUCUAUGGAAUUAACGAAAAAGAAUAUUGCUCAUUUUAUUACUAAUUAUAGAUGAGGUCCUGCAAUGCUUCAUAUCAGUAAAAUUGAUGAUGAGUACAUGUAUACGUAUACGUAUACGUAUAUGUAUAUGUAUAUGUAUAUGUAUAUGUACUCCUCCCCAGCCAGCCGCUUAACAUGGACCAUCAGCCUGACCUUUAGGGUAAGUGGUUCCUGGCUUUCCUUUAUAAUUUAGUCACUUUUCAAUUUUCCUCUUACCUAGAUGUGACCCAGGCACCUCAGAGCCUGGAGAAGUCUCUGGCACAUAGUAGAUCUUUAAAAGAUGCUGCUGGAGUGGAUAAACUCCUGAGGAUUGCUAAUUUUACAGAGCAACCAGCAGUGACAAUACAAUUCUGAAUCUUUCAAUAAAAUGGCAGAAAAAGCCAGGGAACAUUAUGUUUUCUUGUUUUUUAAUCUCUGUAAACCUCCUUAAAUCUUUUUAGAGUCAACACAGUAUAAUUUUUUUUAAAACAACAACAACGAUAAUAAGAACUACCAUCGACUGUGUGCUUGGGAAAUGCCUAAUAAAUAGCAUUUUUCGUGUAGAAUCUCAUAAGUACAAUCUCUAAGAGUAGGUGAUACAAUAAAAAACGUAAAACACUUUUGAUAUGUACAAAAGUUUGUUUUAUCUUUUAGUAAUUCAAUUAUAAUUAAAACUAUUAUAUUUAAA